GUAACACUAACUGGAGGACCGAACCGACUAAUGUUGAAAAAUUAGCGGAUGACCUGUGGCUGGGGGUGAAAGGCCAAUCAAACCGGGAGAUAGCUGGUUCUCCCCGAAAGCUAUUUAGGUAGCGCCUCGUGAAUUCAUCUCCGGGGGUAGAGCACUGUUUCGGCUAGGGGGCCAUCCCGGCUUACCAACCCGAUGCAAACUGCGAAUACCGGAGAAUGUUAUCACGGGAGACACACGGCGGGUGCUAACGUCCGUCGUGAAGAGGGAAACAACCCAGACCGCCAGCUAAGGUCCCAAAGUCAUGGUUAAGUGGGAAACGAUGUGGGAAGGCCCAGACAGCCAGGAUGUUGGCUUAGAAGCAGCCAUCAUUUAAAGAAAGCGUAAUAGCUCACUGGUCGAGUCGGCCUGCGCGGAAGAUGUAACGGGGCUAAACCAUGCACCGAAGCUGCGGCAGCGACACUGUGUGUUGUUGGGUAGGGGAGCGUUCUGUAAGCCUGUGAAGGUGGCCUGUGAGGGUUGCUGGAGGUAUCAGAAGUGCGAAUGCUGACAUAAGUAACGAUAAAGCGGGUGAAAAGCCCGCUCGCCGGAAGACCAAGG
rnacentral:rRNA from 1 species